rnacentral:rRNA from 1 species
CACGUAGGGUGCGAGCGUUGUCCGGAAUUACUGGGCGUAAAGCGUGCGCAGGCGGUUUUGUAAGACAGGUGUGAAAUCCCCGGGCUUAACCUGGGAACUGCGCUUGUGACUGCAAGACUCGAGUACGGCAGAGGGGGGUAGAAUUCCACGUGUAGCAGUGAAAUGCGUAGAGAUGUGGAGGAAUACCGAUGGCGAAGGCAGCCCCCUGGGUCGAUACUGACGCUCAUGCACGAAAGCGUGGGGAGCAAACAGG